UUGUCGACGUCAAACGAAACCCUCGUCGUAAUCGACCUUUUUCCAAAGUCUGGAAAAAGCAGUUUACAUUAACAACUUCGAGAUAAAAUUCGACUAUCGGACUAUCACGUGGGUUUGUUGUGUGUGUUACUGAAGCGCCAUUUGGAAGGCAUCGUAAGUUCACUGACUACGUAAUAGAUGAGACUGUUACUCGCGAAAAGAAGUCGAAUUUGUUCAUCCAGCUUCGUACUUAAACUCGUAAACUAUCUUUAUGGAUUAUGAAAAUACUUAAUGCAGUGUAAAAACUGCAAAUUCAGCAGUUCGAGUGAAGACGUCCUUCUAAAGCACUAUCGGCUGCAUCACCCAAGCAUUUCCAGCUGGCCUUGUAUUCAUACUGGGUGUGUUUGUGUCUUCAGGACAGCAGGCUUAGAGACCGAGUCCUUGUGACCCUGAGGAUAUACCUGCACCAUUAAACUUGCCUGAUGGCUUUACUACUGCGAGUUGUCAUUUCUACAACUGAUGCCC